rnacentral:rRNA from 1 species
GACGAACGCUGGCGGCGUGCUUAACACAUGCAAGUCGAACGGUAAGGCCCUUCGGGGUACACGAGUGGCGAACGGGUGAGUAACACGUGGGUGAUCUGCCCUGCACUUCGGGAUAAGCCUGGGAAACUGGGUCUAAUACCGGAUAGGACUCCGGACUGCAUGGUCUGGGGUGGAAAGCUUUUGCGGUGUGGGAUGGGCCCGCGGCCUAUCAGCUUGUUGGUGGGGUGAUGUCCUACCAAGGCGACGACGGGUAGCCGGCCUGAGAGGGUGACCGGCCACACUGGGACUGAGAUACGGCCCAGACUCCUACGGGAGGCAGCAGUGGGGGAUAUUGCACAAUGGGCGCAAGCCUGAUGCAGCGACGCCGCGUGAGGGAUGACGGCCUUCGGGUUGUAAACCUCUUUCAGCAUCGACGAAGCGAAAGUGACGGUACCUACAGAAGAAGGACCGGCCAACUACGUGCCAGCCGCCGCAGUAA